AACCUUCAUCACUGAAGAGGUCAUCCAUGAACUAAACAUAAGGACUACUUCAAAGCCAACAAAAGUCAGAGGAUGCGUAAUGGGACUUAUGUAUUGGCUUUGUGAGCAUGUGCGUUUAAUUAAUCAAGGAAAUCCACACAACAUUUCAAGGUUCAUCAAGUGGAGGCUUGGUGACCUAAGCAAGGCAUUGCGUACAAUCAACUUGGACUCUCUCGAUCCUCUUUUGGUAAUCUCCUCAGAGUUGGAGCCAAACGACAAUGAGGAAGAGUUGCUCAGGUUU